CGUCAUGGAGUAAAGUUAUAUCGGUGUAGACUAGAGGAACUCAUUACAAGAAGUCAGUGUAAUUAAAUAUAAGAACUAUAAAAAGAGAUUAUGAUCUCUUGUAUUAGUGCGGAGUUAACUACAGAUGGUACCACCCCCUCGAAGUUAGUGGACGUUGGGUCAAGGAACUACAGUCAAUUUGGCGGCUGAUACCUUUGCUGACGAGCUUCUGGAGUUUGCCUGAGUCUGCGGGCGUCCAGGCAGGCGGGCGCCCUUCCACAGCAUCAUGGGGCGACUGGUUCCUUCGCUGGAUCUACGGCAGGCAGCGCCCUUGCACAUCCUGAGGCGGCUUAAUACCUGCUCUGACGUGCAUCCUGGUCCGCAGACUUUCUGGCGAUCUACCGGUGACGUCCUUCCCACAGCAUCCUAAGAGAGACUACGCAUGGAAGCUGCUCGAAAAGCUGCGAAGGAGAGGGAGGCCAAGAUGAACGUGCAUGUACAGCAACAGCAUGUCGCAAGAGGCUGCAGUUUGCUCCUCAUAUGUUUUCGCCCAGGCAUUGACUCUAUACGGAAAUGGGUAGAGACAAUAAUACCAUAGCCGACAACGUCGAUAUAUAGAUAAAUAGAUAAAUAGAUAAAUAUAAUAUAUAUAGAU